rnacentral:rRNA from 1 species
GAUGAACGCUGGCGGCGUGCCUAAUACAUGCAAGUCGAGCGAACAGUCGAGGAGCUUGCUCCUCUGACGUUAGCGGCGGACGGGUGAGUAACACGUGUAUAACCUACCUAUCAGACUGGGAUCACUUCGGGAAUCCGGCUCUAAUACCGGAUAAUAUAUUGAACCGCGUGGUUCAAUAGUAAAAGACGGUUUUGCUGUCACUUAUAGCUGGAUCCGAGCCGCAGUAGAUAGUUGGUAAGGUAACGGGUUACCAAGGCAACGAUGCGUAGCCGACCUGAGAGGGUGAUCGGCGACACGGGAACGUAGACGCGGUCCAGACUCCUACGGUAGGCAGCAGUAGGGAAUGGUCCGCAAUGGGCGAAAGCCUGACGGAGCAACGCCGCGUGAGUGAUGAAGGUCUUCGGAUCGUAAAGCUCUGUUAUGAGGGAAGAACAAAUGUGUAAGUAACUAUGCACGUCUUGACGGUAACUAAUAAGAAAGCCACGGCUAACUACGUG